rnacentral:rRNA from 1 species
GUCCACGCCGUAAACGAUGAGUACUGGGUGUAGGUGGGGUUAGAGCCAUCUGUGCCGAAGCAAACGCGUUAAGUACUCCGCCUGGGGAGUACGGCCGCAAGGCUAAAACUCAAAGGAAUUGACGGGGGCCCGCACAAGCAGCGGAGCGUGUGGUUUAAUUCGAUGCAACACGAAGAACCUUACCCAGGUUUGACAUGCACGUAGUAGUGAAGCGAAAGCGGAACGACCCUUCGGGGAGCGUGCACAGGUGCUGCAUGGCUGUCGU